CUCUUCAAUACCUGUAAGGGACUCAGAGGACUGGCCAGACAGAGAAGUGUGUAAUCUUUAAAUACAUGAAUCUGCCCUGGUUGAUACAGAAGAAAAAAAUCAAGAAAAAGAUGCCAGACCUGCAUUGUGGUCUCCAGGCUCUUGCUACCUAUUUCUGCUCUCUCUCAUUUAUCCUCCAU